UUCAAUCAUUAAAUUUCAGGUUACUAAAAAGUAGGUAAAGGUGUAAGUAAUGGACACGACCAGAAAGUGUCUUACAAAGGUAAAAGCACUUUACUUAGUUAUAUAAAAACAUUGUAAAGUUUGAGAAAAUCAAUUUAUAUAAAAUUAAUAUGCUAACAAAAUCAGUGUUCCUUUGAAAAGACAAGACUUACAGGAUUGUCAUUGAAAAUUGACUUAAAAUGUAAAAUUGAUGAAUACAACAGGUAACACCAAUUAUUUACUAAGACAUUUUAGUAUGGUUUUGUGAAGAACUGUGUGAUUGACCUAAACAAAGGAUAUACACACCAGAGUGAGUUAUGUGAAUGAAGUUAAAAGUAGAUAACAAAGAUUAAGACACACAUGAUUUUGUGACAGAAGGUACAGUGAUGACAAGAAAUAAGUGGGUGAUAUUAAAAAUAUUUAGGCAAAACAACCGUGUUUAAUAAACACAAAAUUAGUGAUUGCAUUUUCGCCAUGAAGUGUGUUGUCAUCACUAGUAUAGGCAAUAACCGGAUGUAACAACGAACAAAAAAAAAACACGUUUUAAAAGUAAUUAUUUUCAGUGUUGAUGAAUUGAUUGAAUAUUUAUGUCAUUUUAUUUAAUUAAUGUUGUGACAUCUGAUUACGAUUUCAGCACCUAUGAGUAAAUCAGGUACCUAAGGAAAAUCUUAGGCAACAGAGUUCCGAUAACGAUGAUGAUGUAUAUGACUGAACAUGUCGUCUACAGUGACGGUGUCAGCGACGGUGUUUGCCUCGAUGUCUAUAACGGUCAAUAACUGACCAAAUCGAUGAUGAUAACGGAGCUGGGUGAUUUCGAUGACAAUGUCGGCGAUAAUGCUUGACUGAACGAUGAUGAUCGAUUUUGAUGACGAUAUAGAAUAUAGAUGAUGAUUAGGUAUAUUAUAGUAACGAUUGAUGAUGUUGAAGAUGAUAAUGACUGAAUGAUGAUGAUCGACUUUGAUGACGAUAUAGAAUAUAGAUGAUGAUUAGGUAUAUUAUAGUAACGACUGAUGAUGUUGAUAAUGAUCGACUGUGUCGAUAAUUAUGGCUUAUAAAAUGUUCAUUGUUAAUGAUGACUGUGACUAAAACGAUCUUUGCUACUGCCAAUAAUUAUAACAUUUUUAUUUGUUUUAUGUUUCAACGCUGGUAACCUGGCUGGACGAAUGAAGUUGAUGAUAAGCGAGGGUCUCGCAGCAAGAGCUGACUAAAGCAAAGAAGGUUAAGCUAUUACAUGGUGAUGUCAGCAGUGGGGCAGGGUGCAAGCUGCCGAUGGCCAGGGCCGCUGAGUGAGAAACCGGCGUACUAUACACGCCGUGUCCAGGAUAUAGCAAUCUGCAUCUGACCAGCGAGAGUCUCUGAGUGUUGGGUUGGUUGGGUUGGUCAGUUUGGCAGACUGUCUAGAACAGGCUAUGAUAGCAGCCUGUCUUCUAGAGCAGGCCGUGAUGGCAGACUGUCUAGACGAAUCUAGUCUAAAGCAGGCCAUAACAAAUUAAAUCAUUACAAUGAUUAGGUGUGAGGUUUGGCAGACUGUCUAGAACAGGCUAUGAUAGCAGCCUGUCUUCUAGAGCAGGCCGUUGUGGCAGACUGUCUAGACUAAUCUAGUCUAGAGCAGGCCCUAACAAAUUAAAUCAUUAAAAUGAUUAGGUGUGAGUUUUGGCAGACUGUCUAGAACAGGCUUUGAUAGCAGCUUGUCUUUUAGAGCAGGCCGUGAUGGCAGACUGUCUAGACCAGUCAAGUCUAGAGCAGGCUAUAACAAUUUAUACUUUGGAAUGAUGUCUAGAGCAGGCCUUGAAGGCAGACUGUGAUUGUUUAUGAUGUGUUAUAUUUUGUUAAAAUUCCUAGAGCAGGCCUUGAGGGCAGACUGUGAUUUUUGAUGUUGAUUUAUACUUUGCCAAACUGUUUAGAGCAGGCCUUGAGGGCAGACUGUGAUUGUUUGUGGUUAUGUAUUAUAUUUUGCCAAACUGUUUAGAGCAGGCCUUAAGGGCAGACUGUGAUUGCUUCUGAUCAUGUUAUAUACUUUUUCAAACUGUUUAGAGCAGGCCUUGAGGCAGACUGUAAUUGUUUAUGAUCAUGUAUUUAUACUUUGCCAGACUGUUUAGAGCAGGCCUUGAGUGCAGACUGUGAUUGUUUAUGAUCAUGUAUUAUACUUUGUCCAACUGUUUAGAGCAGGCCUUGAGUGCAAACUGUGAUUGUUUAUGAUCAUGUAUUAUACUUUGCCCAACUGUUUAGAGCAGGCCUUGAGUGCAGACUGUGAUUGUUUAUGAUCAUAUAUUAUACUUUGCCAAACUGUUUAGAGCAGGCCUUGAGUGCAGACUGUGAUUGUUUAUGAUCAUGUAGUAUACUUUGUCAAACUAUUUAGAGCAGGCCUUGAGUGCAGACUGUGAUUGUUUACGAUCAUGUAUUAUACUUUGCCAAAUUGUUUAGAUCAGGCCUUGAGGUUGGUUUAUACUUUGGCAGACUGCCUAGAGCAGACCAUGAUUGUAAGUUAGUUCAUAUAUUGAAAGACUAUCUAAAGAAGGCUGUUAAUGCUACCAGGUGUUGGUUGUAUUCAAUGACUGUUUACAUGAUCUCAGAUUCAAGCAUGUUAAGCGUUAAGAUUUAUUUCUCAAUAAGCUUAAAGGUUACUAUUGGCUAUGAUUGAUUCACGUGAGCCCAUACUGUGCAUAAGAAGUGUACUGUGUAGAAGUUUACAAAUACUGUUGUUGUGAAUGUUUAUCUUUGAUAUCGAUAAAGGUGUUACGAUAUAUUGCUGUUGUUAUUAAUGUUUAUAAUUACUUUUAGUGAGAGGGCUCACUUUAAAAAAAAAAGGAUGGCCGAAGCUGUAAGCAUCACAAUAGUUAAUAUCCUGUAUGUGGCCUUAUACUGAUAAUAACGUGUAGUAUGCACCGGGCUUUAUACUUUUUGGUUGUUGUGUUUAUGGUCAUUUUAGUUUUAUAUAGAGAACUGGCAGAUUUUGGCGGAAUGCCGUCGACCGAUAUUAUGUACGAUUUGUUCUUAGUUAAUACGGUGUAUUGAUGUAAUAAAAGAAAUAUUAACUGGA